AAGUGAGGCUGAAGAGGUUCCCCCCCACCACUUCAGCACUUCCGGUGAGCUUCCGAGAAGAACCCGCGGCCCGGUCCCCUUUCUUGAGGGUGCCGGGCCGCCUUCUUUU
rnacentral:sRNA from 1 species